GGCAGCGCCGUCCUGUUCUCUGGCUCUCCUCGCCAUCUCUCCUCUUCACUUCCAGAAACACGGCCUCUGGUGUGGCUGUCUCUGAUGGAAUCAUCAAGGUGUUCAAUGACAUGAAGGUGCGCAAGUCUUCCACACCAGAGGAGGUAAAGAAGCACGAGAAGGCGGUGCUCUUCUGCUUGAGGGAGGACAAGAAGAACAUCAUCCUGGAGGAGGGCAAGGAGAUCCUGGUGGGUGAUGUGGGCCAGACUGUCGAUGACCCCUACGCCACCUUUGUCAAGAUGCUGCCAGACAAGGACUGCCGCUAUGCCCUCUACGAUGCAACCUAUGAGACCAAGGAGAGCAAGGAGGACCUGGUGUUUAUCUUCUGGGCUCCUGAGUGUGCACCCCUUAAGAGGAAAAUGAUUUAUGCCAGCUCCAAGGACGCCAUCAAGAAGAAGCUGACGGGAAUCAAGCACGAAUUACAAGCAAACUGCUACGAGGAGGUCAAGGAUCGCCGCACCCUGGCAGAGAAACUGGGGGGCAGCGCCGUCAUCUCCCUGGAGGGCAAGCCUUUGUGAGCCCCUUCUGGUCCCCUGCCUGGAGCAUCUGGCAGCCCCAGACCUGCUCUCGGGGGUUGCAGGCUGCCCCCUCCCUGCCAGACCCCCCACCCCCUGGAUUUCCCUCCCUCCAUCCCUGACGGUUCUGGCCUUCCCAAACCGCUUUUGAUCUUGAUUCCUCUUGGGUUGAAGUAGACUGAGUUCCCCCCGGGCACCCCAGUUUGGGGGAGGCUGUAUUUUUUUUAACUAAACCCUCAUUCCCCACCUGUUCCUCUCCCUUCCCAGGCUGCCAACUUCUAACCGCAUAGUGACUCUGUGCUUGUCUGUUUAGUUCUGUGUACAAAUGGAAUGUUGUGGAGAUGACCCCUCCCCACGCCGGCUGGUUCCUCUCCCUUUUCCCUUGGUCAUGGCCAUUUAUGGAAGCAGGACCAGUAAGGGACCUUCAAUUUAAAAAAAAAAAAAAAGA